rnacentral:rRNA from 1 species
GAUGAACGCUAGCGACAGGCCUAACACAUGCAAGUCGAGGGGUAUCGGUUUCGGCCGAGAGACCGGCGCACGGGUGCGUAACGCGUAUGUAACCUGCCUCACACUGGGGGAUAGCCUUCCGAAAGGGAGAUUAAUACCGCAUAAUAAUAUUGUCCUGCCUGGGAUUAUAUUUAAAACUUCGGUGGUGUGAGAUGGACAUGCGUAUGAUUAGCUAGUUGGCGGGGUAACGGCCCACCAAGGCAACGAUCAUUAGGGGUUCUGAGAGGAAGAUCCCCCACACUGGUACUGAGACACGGACCAGACUCCUACGGGAGGCAGCAGUGAGGAAUAUUGGUCAAUGGGCGAAAGCCUGAACCAGCCAUGUCGCGUGCAGGAAGACGGCCCUAUGGGUUGUAAACUGCUUUUGUAUGGGAAGAAACGACGGUACG